rnacentral:rRNA from 1 species
UAAUCGCAGAUCAGAAUGCUGCGGUGAAUGCGUUCCCGGGUCUUGUACACACCGCCCGUCACACCACGGAAGUUGGAGACGCCCGAAGCCGAUUAUCUAACCUUUUGGAAGAAGUCGUCGAAGGUGGAAUCAAUAACUGGGGGGAAGUCGUAACAAGGUAGCCGUAUCGGAAGGUGCGGCUGGAUCACCUCCUUUCUAAGGAGA